GUGAUGAUGAGAUACAGCAUUCCCGAGCAGCAAAUCCUUUCAUUAGGUACUCUCCAGCACCACUGACACAGCAUCCCACCAUAAAUGGAGCUCCAAAAGGUCCCCUUGACGAUGCCCAACAACCGGAACCAUACAUCGCUGCUAGACCUACGCGCCCACUUAUCUUCAGUGCUAUCCCACCGCUAGAGCUUCCACAAGCCAUAUGUCCUUUCGAAUCGAGACAGAUAACCCCAACAGUGUCUGAAAUUAAGUCUUCAUCUAAUGCAUCGAGCAAGGAGAUUUGGUCACCCACUCCAUCUCCCCUGAAUUGAUCAGAUGGUUGGCUCUCAGAUGUUGUAUUAGUCUCCUUAGCAUUGGUCAUCUUUAUGUUAGGAGAAUCAUUUACAGCUUUGGCAUCAUCAAGC
rnacentral:misc_RNA from 1 species